UACGGAGGGUGCAAGCGUUACUCGGAAUCACUGGGCGUAAAGAGCGCGUAGGCGGGAUAGCAAGUCAGAUGUGAAAUCCUAUGGCUUAACCAUAGAACUGCAUUUGAAACUGUUAUUCUAGAGUAUGGGAGAGGUAGGUGGAAUUCUUGGUGUAGGGGUAAAAUGCGUAGAUAUUAGGAGGAACACCAGUGGCGAAGGCGGUCUGCUGGACAGCAACUGACGGUGAGGCGCGAAAGCGUGGGGAGCAAACAGG
rnacentral:rRNA from 1 species